UACAGAGGUCUCAAGCGUUGUUCGGAUUCAUUGGGCGUAAAGGGUGCGUAGGCGGCGCGGUAAGUCGGGUGUGAAAUCUCGGAGCUUAACUCCGAAACUGCAUUCGAUACUGCCGUGCUUGAGGACUGGAGAGGAGACUGGAAUUCCCGGUGUAGCGGUGAAAUGCGCAGAGAUCAGGAGGAACACCCGUAGCGAAGGCGGCACUCUGGGCCGAUACUGACACUGAGGAGCGAAAGCGUGGGGAGCGAACAGG
rnacentral:rRNA from 1 species